AUACGGAGGGUCCAAGCGUUAUCCGGAUUCAUUGGGUUUAAAGGGUCCGCAGGCGGGAAAAUAAGUCAGUGGUGAAGGCCUACAGCUCAACUGUAGAACUGCCAUUGAAACUGUUUUUCUUGAGUAUAGAUGAAGUGGGCGGAAUAUAUCAUGUAGCGGUGAAAUGCAUAGAUAUGAUAUAGAACACCGAUUGCGAAGGCAGCUCACUAAACUAUUACUGACGCUCAGGGACGAAAGCGUGGGGAGCGAACAGGAUUAGAAACCCUAGUAGUCC
rnacentral:rRNA from 1 species